GAGGAUGAACAAUUAACGAUCUGAAGCUGGUUCAUCUUCAUUGACCAACUCUCGUUCUGUGCGCUUUGCUUUGUCUUCAAAAUCAAAUGAAAACUCUCUCGUGAGUGUACUCUCACUAAAACAGCUUUGUGCAUUUCGUUUCAGAUGUGAUUGUUGUUUUGUUAGUCCAGUUUAGUUUAGGAGAAUUAAUACUUUUCAAAACAAUAUGAAUAGUUCAAUAUGGUUUUGCUUAGGCUUAUGUACAUGUUUUAUAUGUUUUACCUUGAAUUUUGGUUUACAUUGACAGUCUUUUAUUCAAGCUACCAAUCAAAUUUUGUUUGGAUUUUGUUAAUUAUAUCAAUCAAUUAAAGUUAAAAAACGAAACUAAAGAUUUUAAUUUUUUUUUGAUGGAUUUGAUUUAUAUAUUAUGAGUUUUUCCAUAUUUGAUAUUUGUUAGUCAAAGCUUUUUUUUUUAAUUAUCAGGUAAAAAUCCAACGAAGAAUCUCCUCUCUUGUAAGUUGUAAAUAUAGGUUUGAAGAAGAAGCAUACAAGGGGACAGAAGAAGGUGCUGAACCAGAUAACACCACUAACAUCAUCUUAGUUUGAUGAGUUGUAAAUUAAGGUAUCUGAAGCGGGUUUUGACUUGUGUGCUUUUUAAUACUUUAUUGGCCAUGUCUAGACAUGUAGAUUUGUGUUGAGAAAAUUACUGGAAUAACACUUCAGUAUAUUCGAAAUCCC
rnacentral:lncRNA from 1 species